UUGACGGGGCCGCACAAGCGGCGGAGCAUGCGGAUUAAUUCGAUGCAACGCGAAGAACCUUACCAAGGCUUGACAUACACCGGUAACGCCCAGAGAUGGGUGCCCCUUUGUGGUCGGUGGACAGGUGGUGCAUGGUUGUCGUCAGCUCGUGUCGUGAGAUGUUGGGUUAAGUCCCGCAACGAGCGCAACCCUCGUCCUAUGUUGCCAGCGGGUCAUGCCGGGGACUCAUGGGAGACUGCCGGGGUCAACUCGGAGGAAGGUGGGGAUGACGUCAAAUCAUCAUGCCCCUUAUGUCUUGGGCUUCACGCAUGCUACAAUGGCCGGUACAAAGGGCUGCGAUACCGCGAGGUGGAGCGAAUCCCAGAAAGCCGGUCUCAGUUCGGAUUGGGGUCUGCAACUCGACCCCAUGAAGUCGGAGUCGCUAGUAAUCGCAGAUCAGCAACGCUGCGGUGAAUACGUUCCCGGGCCUU
rnacentral:rRNA from 1 species